GCCUAACACAUGCAAGUCGAACGGCAGCGGGUAGGAAGCUUGCUUCCUAUGCCGGCGAGUGGCGGACGGGUGAGGAACACAUCGGAAUCUACUCCGUCGUGGGGGAUAACGUAGGGAAACUUACGCUAAUACCGCAUACGACCUAAGGGUGAAAGUGGGGGACCGCAAGGCCUCACGCGAUGGAAUGAGCCGAUGUCCGAUUAGCUAGUUGGCGGGGUAAAGGCCCACCAAGGCGACGAUCGGUAGCUGGUCUGAGAGGAUGAUCAGCCACACUGGGACUGAGACACGGCCCAGACUCCUACGGGAGGCAGCAGUGGGGAAUAUUGGACAAUGGGCGAAAGCCUGAUCCAGCCAUGCCGCGUGGGUGAAGAAGGCCUUCGGGUUGUAAAGCCCUUUUGUUGGGGAAGAAAUCCUGCUGGCUAAUACCCGGCGGGGAUGACGGUACCCAAAGAAUAAGCACCGGCUAACUUCGUGCCAGCAGCCGCGGUAAUACGAAGGGUGCAAGCGUUACUCGGAAUUACUGGGCGUAAAGCGUGCGUAGGUGGUGGCUUAAGUCCGUUGUGAAAGCCCUGGGCUCAACCUGGGAAUUGCAGUGGAUACUGGGUCACUAGAGUGUGGUAGAGGGUGGCGGAAUUCCCGGUGUAGCAGUGAAAUGCGUAGAGAUCGGGAGGAACACCCGUGGCGAAGGCGGCCACCUGGGCCAACACUGACACUGAGGCA
rnacentral:rRNA from 1 species